AACAAACGCUGGCGGCAGGCCUAACACAUGCAAGUCGAACGAUAUAGUGGCAGACGGGUGAGUAACGCGUGGGAACGUACCUUUCACUACGGAAUAGCUCCGGGAAACUGGUGGUAAUACCGUAUACGCCCUCAGGGGAAAGAUUUAUCGGUGAAAGAUCGGCCCGCGUUGGAUUAGCUAGUUGGUGAGGUAAUGGCUCACAAAGGCGACGAUCCAUAGCUGGUCUGAGAGGAUGAUCAGCCACACUGGGACUGAGACACGGCCCAGACUCCUACGGGAGGCAGCAGUGGGGAAUCUUGCACAAUGGGCGAAAGCCUGAUGCAGCCAUGCCGCGUGAAUGAUGAAGGCCUUAGGGUUGUAAAAUUCUUUCGUCAGGGAUGAUAAUGACCGUACCUGAAGAAGAAGCCCCGGCUAACUUCGUG
rnacentral:rRNA from 1 species